AGAGCGUGGCAGGCGGCCGCUGUCCCAUGAAGGUGGGAGAGAGGAAAGUCCGGGCUCCACAGGGCAGGACGCUGGAUAACGUCCAGUGAGCGUAAGCUCAAGGAAAGUGCCACAGAAACAUACCGCCGGUGCUUCGGCGCCGGUAAGGG
rnacentral:RNase_P_RNA from 1 species